rnacentral:rRNA from 1 species
GACGAACCGUACGAACGUUAUUCGGAAUCACUGGGCUUAAAGGGUGCGUAGGCGGUGCGGAAAGUUGGGUGUGAAAUCCCUCGGCUCAACCGAGGAAUAGCGCUCAAAACUGCCGUGCUCGAGGGAGACAGAGGUGAGUGGAACUUAGGGUGGAGCGGUGAAAUGCUUUGAUAUCCUAAGGAACACCAGUGGCGAAAGCGACUCACUGGGUCUCUUCUGACGCUGAGGCACGAAAGCUAGGGGAGCAAACGGG